rnacentral:tRNA from 1 species
ACCCCUGUGGCUCAGUUGGUCGAGCAUGGUGUUUGCAACGCCAGGGUUGUGGGUUCGAUUCCCACGGGGGGGC